rnacentral:rRNA from 1 species
AGAGUUUGAUCCUGGCUCAGAUUGAACGCUGGCGGCAUGCCUUACACAUGCAAGUCGAACGGCAGCACGGGAGCAAUCCUGGUGGCGAGUGGCGAACGGGUGAGUAAUAUAUCGGAACGUGCCCAGUCGUGGGGGAUAACGUAGAGAAAUUUACGCUAAUACCGCAUACGAUCUAAGGAUGAAAGCGGGGGACCGUAAGGCCUCGCGCGAUUGGAGCGGCUGAUAUCAGAUUAGGUUGUUGGUGAGGUAAAAGCUCACCAAGCCGACGAUCUGUAGCUGGUUUGAGAGAACGACCAGCCACACUGGGACUGAGACACGGCCCAGACUCCUACGGGAGGCAGCAGUGGGGAAUUUUGGACAAUGGGCGAAAGCCUGAUCCAGCAAUGCCGCGUGCAGGAAGAAGGCCUUCGGGUUGUAAACUGCUUUUGUACGGAACGAAAAGGUCUGCCCUA